rnacentral:rRNA from 1 species
GAAAAAGCGCCGGCUAACUACGUGCCAGCAGCCGCGGUAAUACGUAGGGCGCAAGCGUUAUCCGGAAUUAUUGGGCGUAAAGAGCUCGUAGGCGGUUUGUCGCGUCUGCUGUGAAAACUGGAGGCUCAACCUCCAGCCUGCAGUGGGUACGGGCAGACUAGAGUGCGGUAGGGGAGAUUGGAAUUCCUGGUGUAGCGGUGGAAUGCGCAGAUAUCAGGAGGAACACCGAUGGCGAAGGCAGAUCUCUGGGCCGUAACUGACGCUGAGGAGCGAAAGGGUGGGGAGCAAACAGGCUUAGAUACCCUGGUAGUCCACCCCGUAAACGUUGGGAACUAGUUGUGGGGGCCUUUCCACGGUCUCCGUGACGCAGCUAACGCAUUAAGUUCCCCGCCUGGGGAGUACGGCCGCAAGGCUAAAACUCAAAGGAAUUGACGGGGACCCGCACAAGCGGCGGAGCAUGCGGAUUAAUUCGAUGCAACGCGAAGAACCUUACCAAGGCUUGACAUAUACGGGAACGGGCUAGAAAUAGUCAACUCUUUGGACACUCGUAUACAGGUGGUGCAUGGUUGUCGUCAGCUCGUGUCGUGAGAUGUUGGGUUAAGUCCCGCAACGAGCGCAACCCUCGUUCUCUGUUGCCAGCACGUUAUGGUGGGAACUCAGGGGAUACUGCCGGGGUCAACUCGGAGGAAGGKGGGGAUGACGUCAAAUCAUCAUGCCCCUUAUGUCUUGGGCUUCACGCAUGCUACAAUGGCCGGUACAAAGGGCUGCAAUACCGUGAGGUGGAGCGAAUCCCAAAAAGCCGGUCCCAGUUCGGAUUGAGGUCUGCAACUCGACCUCAUGAAGUCGGAGUCGCUAGUAAUCGCAGAUCAGCAACGCUGCGGUGAAUACGUUCCCGGGUCUUGUACACACCGCCCGUCAAGUCAUGAAAGUCGGUAACACCUGAAGCCGGUGGCCUAACCCUUGUGGAGGGA